UGGGGAAUAUUGGACAAUGGGGGCAACCCUGAUCCAGCCAUGCCGCGUGUGUGAAGAAGGCCUUUUGGUUGUAAAGCACUUUAAGCAGUGAAGAAGACUCCAUGGUUAAUACCCAUGGACGAUGACAUUAGCUGCAGAAUAAGCACCGGCUAACUCUGUGCCAGCAGCCGCGGUAAUACAGAGGGUGCAAGCGUUAAUCGGAAUUACUGGGCGUAAAGCGAGCGUAGGUGGCUUGAUAAGUCAGAUGUGAAAGCCCCGGGCUUAACCUGGGAACGGCAUCGGAUACUGUUAGGCUAGAGUAGGUGAGAGGAAGGUAGAAUUCCAGGUGUAGCGGUGAAAUGCGUAGAGAUCUGGAGGAAUACCGAUGGCGAAGGCAGCCUUCUGGCAUCAUACUGACACUGAGGUUCGAAAGCGUGGGUAGCAAACA
rnacentral:rRNA from 1 species